CACUUUUGGUUUGAAAAUUACAGUUCCUCCCCUUUUACUGAUCUGUAUCAAUAACCAUUCAUACCAAUCAACAUAACAGAAUUUGAUGGCGUCAUCAUUAGAACUUUUAGAAACCUGCCAGAAUGCAUAAGAUUCAGACAUGAAUGUGCACUUGCAUUAUGUGAUUGUUGCUCUGAGUAAAUGUGGAGUAGUUGAGGCCUAAUUUCAUGCAUUUUGAAUUGCUUUGAAAUAGAGUUGGAAUGUCUCUGCUUCCACUCAAUCAUAGGAGUUCUUGUGAAAUUAUAUUUGUUUGCCAAAACGCCACCCUAUUGAUCCUUAUAAGUUUAAUGUGGGACAGUAAAUCAUUUUGAAAAAUUCAAAGGCCCUUCCCCUUAGAAAUUUCUUUUACCACGAAAAAAAAAAUGAAGAAAGAAUAGCAAGAAAAAGGAAGACUACAUCUACUCCGCUGGUUUAGGUCACUUAGUAACUGGGUAACUUCAUCACAAAUAUUAUGAUUCACGUAGAACGGUGACUAGAGCCAUGAGUAUGCAAAGCACUUUAGGUAAAAUGUUCUUUAGUUGAGUAAUCGGGUGCCUUCACCACAAGGGUUGUCAUUCGCGUCAAAAGACCGAAAUACGACGUUUUUGGUUGAGUAACCGGGUGCCUUCACCACAAGUGUUGUCAUUCACGUCAAAAGACCGAAAUACCGCCUAAAGAACGUAAGUCACGGGCAAAAAACAAAGAAAAAAGAAUGAAAAUAAAGCCAUGACAACAAAAGGGGAAGAAAAAAGGGAAAAAAAUGGCCAAAGAAAAGAAAAAACAAAAGUUGUCCCAACUUAGGCAGAAAUAAGGAGAUAAAGGGUAUUGUGUUGAAGCGACGAGUAUGGUGACAUUUAGAAACCUAUGAUUUUGUGGAAGCUUGAUUGUUCUACUCUCUACUUGGCGAGACAAAGUGUUGUGGUGUGAUUGGCCUCUUACCCUCAUUAUGAUAAGUUAGCGUUUGCAUAACUUAUUGCGGCAUUUGUGUUUUGAGAUUAUCUGCAUAUGGGUUAUAGGUUACCUUUGUUGUUACAGAAUAUUAGCACAAUGUUGAGAUCAUAUUUUUUGCAGUGUCGGACUUUUGCUUGAGGACAAUAAUUGUUUAUGUUUGGGGAGUUUGAUAAGCUUAGUUUUAUAUAUUUAUAAUAGCAGAAAAUACUAUUUUGUUGUGUGGAAGGCAAUAACUUCAAAAAAAUUGCAACAAUCAUCUCAUUCUAUUUUUGUUUUAUAUCUAAAAAUUGUCGUAUUUUUUUUAUGGCUAUCUGAAAAUCCUGUGUAAAAGCCUUUAUUUAGAUUUUGUAUGACUACUAUUUUUGGUUGGGAGGUGAUAGAUUCUGACCAUGAUAUUAUUUUACCAAUAUAACUCACAAUAAUUAUUCUAAAAAUGUUUAAAUGCUAUAUUAUUAUGGUUAUCUUUUAUUUUAUGGAUUAUUCCUUUUAGAUGACCAUAUCAGCACAGAGUAAAUAUAACCUCUCAAAGCUACAUGAAAUAUACAAUUUGGCUAAGAGAUGUUUGGUGGUGGCAUUCCUAAGAAGGAUGGAAAAAUUGACUGUGCUGAAGACUGUUUCAGCAGGCAAGGCAAGCAUUUUUUAUUGUAUCACGACAACUGCAGGUUGAAACAUAUGCCUCAGUAGUCUGUAUACCUUCAGGCCAACAUGUCGAGUAUUGCCCGCGUGUCUGAAAGAGUGGUUAUUCAAAGUAUCAGAACAGGCUCUUCUCUUAGGUUUGCAUUGCUAAAAUGAAUUUAAGUGAUGAGUUAGAUUUGGAGGGUUAUGUGUCUCGACCAUAUAAAAUCCGUGCAGCUGAGGUGAUACCAUUAUUUCAGAAAAUUGAAGGUGUUGAAGUGUGCCUAUUUGGAAUGUGCGCUCGAGAAUGCAUUCGAUUGUCAGCAGCCUGAUCAUUGCCGAUCUUAUGUGGAAUCAGUUAAUGUAUUUCAGGCUGGAGGUCAAACCAGUGACCGGAGAACCUCUGCGAACAUUUGUGUACCAUGAAUUUUGGCAAGUUUCUGGAACCACUGCCCUUUUGCUAUUGCUAUCUUCUCUGUUGCGGCAAAAUAUUGUAGUUGCAAUUUCUGGUGCAAGUACCCAUAAUAUUCUUAUAUUUUCAGAUUCGACACUUAGAAUACUGUAAAAAGUGAAAUUUUAGUAGCUGUUGUACAUGGGCUUGCCCUCCGUUGAAAGGGGAAGAUUGCAUAUUGUAUUGCAAGCAGAAAUUAAAAAGACACCAAAAUCAGUUAAAGUUAGGGAGUGCAAAGGUAGCUGCAGCUUGGUUUCCAUACAUUGAUUGGGAUUAUUGGCUUGGUGCUCCAGAGGACAUGAUCUAUCAACUACAACAAGAAGAGAAUAGGAGAAAACAACAUAAGAAGGGAACUAUGAAAAAGAUGAUCAAGAAAAAAGCUCUGGAGGCAUCUGGCCAAACUGUGCUUGGUGAAGCGAUAUCUCCCAGGAAGGAAGACUUCGUCAUGGUACACUUACAGCAUGCAUGUGCGCACACACUGCUGCAUUCUGAUGAUAUCUGGAAAUUGUUGGGUUUGCAAACGAUGCAAAGAUUUUCAGCUAUGUGAAAACAAAUGGUUUGGUCCCGAAAAUUUGGUUGAUGCCAAUAUGAGGAUAUGUAAACAUGUAGAAAAGGAAGUGAUGAUAUUCAAGGAUGUUGUGAAUGAGAUCAGAGGAGUUGGAGGAAGUUAAUGCUUGCAAUAGAGGAAGUGGAGUUUGAUGUUGCAGUGCUCAAGAGCCGGAGGGUCAAGAACCAGGCUUCACGAAAGGACUUGGUUGAAUUUAAGUAGCUCAAGAAAUGGCACAUUGUUACUGAGGUAUUGUGAAGCGUUAUCAUUCCUCCUUCUUUUAUUUUCUUGGUUUUCGGAUGGAUUGGAGUGUAUUUCUUCUAUGUUUUUGCUGCUCUAAUUUAAUCUAUCUAGGAAUAAUAUAUCUGUUCUGUCACCUUGCUGAAACUAUGUUGUUGUUCUCUAUUCUUCGGCUUUUUGGUGCACAGGAUACAUAGUCAAAUAACCUUGUAAGAUGGUGAGUUUGUUCCCAAAAGAGUCCUAGAACAUGAGAUGAUCCUAUGUGGUUACAAAAAGGUGUAUUUUCCUUCUCCCCCUCCCCCUCUACAUUGUAAUCUGUUUGUGUGGUAGAGAUGGUGGUCUUGCAUGAUUGGACUCAGAUUGGAGUAAGUUCCUCCAAGCGGUUACAACCCUGCGACAUGUAAGAAUUGGCAGGAAGGGAAGUGAAAACAACAAAAGAUGUUGAAGUAAGGAGUGCCAGGUCAAGAGGUGAGGCAUAA